rnacentral:rRNA from 1 species
CCUACGGGAGGCUGCAGUGGGGAAUAUUGCGCAAUGGGCGAAAGCCUGACGCAGCGACGCCGCGUGAGGGAUGAAGGUCUUCGGAUCGUAAACCUCUGUCAGCAGGGAAGAACGGUCACUGUGCUAAUCAGCAGUGAAUUGACGGUACCUGCAAAGGAAGCACCGGCUAACUCCGUGCCAGCAGCCGCGGUAAUACGGAGGGUGCGAGCGUUAAUCGGAAUUACUGGGCGUAAAGCGCUCGUAGGCGGUAUGUCAAGUCAAGGGUGAAAUCCCCGCGCUCAACGUGGGAACUGCCUUUGAAACUGGCAAACUGGAGUGUGGGAGAGGAUAGUGGAAUGCCAGGUGUAGGAGUGAAAUGCGUAGAUAUCUGGAGGAACAUCAGUGGCGAAGGCGACUAUCUGGCACAUAACUGACGCUGAGGAGCGAAAGCGUGGGUAGCAAACAGGAUUAGAUACCCUAGUAGUC